UUUGGCGCGUCAUCAAACACGUCAUUGUCUGGUCAAAUUUAUUUGGCCUUUUCACUUAUUCGGCCGAACACCGAAAAUGCUUUUUUUUUGUUUUGCUAUUUUUAGCCGAAUAAUUUCGGUUGCCGAACAUUCGGUGCAUCCCUAAUCUGAACAAUUUGAUACGAACACGAAGAUUUCUUUUAAUUAAUAUGAAAACCAGUCGGAAGUCUGUACGGCUACAUUUUGGUACAGAGCUAACAAUGAUGAAAAGUCAGGUUUUGACCAAAAUUGUUUGCUGCCUGUAAUGUACUUUGACGUCUCUGCUUUAACCCUGCAAUGGACUAGUGUUAGUCCCCUGUUCCUGGGAUUCCCUCCGGAUCCACUGUAACCCUGACCAGGAUAAAGCUGUUACUGAAUGAAUCUCAGCUUAAAAAUAUUUUAACAAAACAAUGCAGACCACUACAGAGUGUAUAAACCUCGUCUUUAAUCACACUGACAGCAUCUUCAUCAUCAUCAUCAUCAUCAUCAUCAUCAUCAUCAUCAGAUCAGAAUGCUGUGUUUGAUGGUCAUUGGAUUUCUUUUAUCCUGUGCAGAUUGUACCAAGUCAUAUCAGAGAAAAACUCUACACCAGAUGAACAGAGCUGCUUUUAAGGGGGAAACUGUUGUUUUUCACUGCAAUGGAACUCUGACUAGUGAACUUAAAGAUAUUGGUUGGCGUAAAGAUGGGAAUCUUAUUUUUAUCCAGAGCUCAGUUAUAAACCAAACUGUGUUCAACUACACAUCGAGCAGGAUGCAGGUUAAUCCCCGAAAUCCAAGAGAACUGCAGAUAUCUGAUGUACAGCUUUCAGAUAAAGGAUUAUACUUAUGUUUUCCAUUAGACAUGCAGUGGAUAUUGACCAUAGAAGACAAGGAACUACAGCAAAAAACAACAAAACAACUGUACAUAGUUACAGUACCCUCAGUUACAGGAGCUGCUGCAAUAUGUGUCAUUAUCUUCUGUGCUGUGUGUAUUCAUAGGAAAUAUAAGAAGAAAGAGGCAUCUGAUCAGACAGACACAAUGGAUAACCAUCAACCACAUGGAGGAAGAAUGAACCGCAAUCAGAGCAGUCAGUAUUUUGAGAGAUUUAAUUCAGUUUAUGGAGAAAUUCAGAUCUGAAGAUUUCUCAAGAAUACUAAAGGGCACAGAAUGUCAACCAGUUUUGGGUCUGCGAGUGUGGAUAUUUAGCUGGUGUCACUUGAAAACACACUGUAUGCCCAGAAAUUGAAACUGAUUAUAUAUGUGAUGCGCUUCUGUGAAAAUCAGACCGAUUGCACAGUACCCAGUACACCUUGUGUAGUUCUUAUGAACAAGCUAUUAACUGCACAGUCAAUUUUCUGAACUAUCUAUUACAGAUACGAGUAUUUGGACACCUGACCAUCACAGCCAUACAUUUAUGGCAUUUGGCAGACACCAUUAACCAGAGUGACUUACAGAAGUGCUUUGAAGUCUCCAUCAAUAAAUACACCCUGAUACUAGUUCACUAAUCACAGACUAAAAAUACUAUCAGUCUAAGAACUCUGUUAGGGAGGUAAUGUAGUAGGAAAGCACACAGACAACACAAUUUGUUUAUUCAGUUAUUUUUAUUAAACUGCUAAUUUAAGUACUCCAGGAAGUGGUAGGUCUUUAGACGUCGUUUGAAGACUGCUAGUGACCCAGUCUUUUGGACAACUAGGGGAAAUUCAUUCUAGAACCUAGAUGCUUUGAGGUAAGUGGGUGCUGGUUCAUUUUUGACUUUGAAGGCAAGCAUCAGUGUUUACAUCUGAUGCGGGCAGCUACAGGAAGCCAGUGGAGGGAACGUAGCAAUGGGGUGGUGUGGGAGAACUUAGGAAGGCUGAAAACAAGUCAUGCAGCUGCAUUUUGGAUCAGUUGCAGAGGUUGAAUGGUACUCAGAGGCAGACCUGCCAAAAGCAAGUUGCAGUAAUCCUGUCUCAAACUGAACAAGCACCUGAAUGGCCUGUGUGGAUAGAAAUGGAUGAAUGCUUCUGAUCUUAUAAAGGAGAAAUUGACAUGAGCAUGUCAGAUUAGCACUGUGAGAAGAAAAGGACAGUUGAUUGUCCAUGGUUACCACAAGCUUGCAUUCAGUGACCGAAGGUGAGGUCAGAGUUUAAGUUUCAUUAAGUUUCAGCUGAUGAGCUGCCAUCCAUGAUGAGGUGUCUGUAAGACAUGCUGAGAUCUGAGCAGAAACAUGAGUGUCUGAGGGAGGGAAGGAGAGGAUGAGUUGAGUAUCAUCCGCAUAGCAGUAGUCUGAAAGAUCCAUAUGUGCUUGUUCAAUUUUCCAAUCCAAAUCCACUCUUUUCACUAAAUUUUGGAGCAUGGCUGUAGGGAUUUACCCAUUUAACAACAAGAAUAUUAGUCAUGCACUGAUGUCAAGCGAGAAGAUCUAGCAUGCAGUCGGCAUUCCAUUUCAUCCAAAAGGUGUUCAGUGUGGUUGAGGUCAGGGCUCUGUGCAGGCCUCUUGAGUUCUUUCACUCGAGCCUUGGAAAACUAUAUCUUCAUAGAGCUCGCUGUGUACUAGGGCAGUGUCAUGCUGGCACCGGUUUUGGGCCCCUUAGUUCCAGUAAGGGGAAACUUAAUCCUACACCAUAGAUAUUCUACACAAUUGUGUGCUUCCAACUUUGUAGCAACAGCUUCGGGAAAGCCCAAGUAUGGUGUGAUGGUCAGGUGUCCACGUGCUUUUGGCCAUAUACAGUAUGAAAAUGGACAGGAACACCAGAUUGUGACUUAUUUCAUUCUUUGAAAACAUUAAGAAUAUUACUGGUCAGGAUUCUAUUCAAAUAAAUUAUUUUUAACAUUUAAUAAAUUAUUUAUUAAACCAUAAAUUUGAACAAAUCCUAAUGGCUGAUUUCUGUUCUGGAAAAAACAAGUAUCUUUCUUUCACCAAACAAGUUUUCCCAGCGAGGGGGAGGGUCGGUAUCAGGUUGGAGGCCCCUGUAAUAUUUUCCAGUUUCAAAUGCUUAUUCCUAGAUGGUUAAUGUAACACACAUACAGCACAGCUGAUUAAAGUAUAUACCUGUUAAAAACAUUAUUAUAAUGCAACUACUGUGAAAAUGUUAUUCAAGUCAGAUAAUGCUAUUUUGCACAGUAAUUUUGCCAUAUAGAUGCAUUCAUUGAAAUAAAAUAUCUAACCACCCCAAAUGUCAAAUAAAU
ensembl:lncRNA